rnacentral:rRNA from 1 species
CUACGGAGGGGGCUAGCGUUGUUCGGAAUUACUGGGCGUAAAGCGCACGUAGGCGGAUUAAAAAGUUAGGGGUGAAAUCCCAGGGCUUAACCCUGGAACUGCCUUUAAAACUAGUAGUCUAGAGUUCGAGAGAGGUGAGUGGAAUUCCAAGUGUAGAGGUGAAAUUCGUAGAUAUUUGGAGGAACACCAGUGGCGAAGGCGGCUCACUGGCUCGAUACUGACGCUGAGGUGCGAAAGCGUGGGGAGCAAACAGGAUUAGAAACCCCAGUAGUCC